UUCCUUCCCGAGACUUUGCUUUAAU
rnacentral:miRNA from 1 species